rnacentral:lncRNA from 1 species
AAAGUUCCAAAUUAUGGAAAAAAGUUUGUAUAUAAGGAAAACAAGGAACUAUCUUGUUUGUAAUUAUUGCUUCAUUUAGUCUCAAAUGUGAAUGUACAUGUCUGUACAGAUGUGAACUGGUUUCAUCAGAAUGUUGUUAGUGAAAGUCUCGAAACAUUGUAAUAUUGAAGGUUCUUUUUAGUAUUAAUUUAUUUAUCUUAUAUGAAUGUGUGAUCCUCUCCAUAAAGAUAAGCAUAUGAAAUUUAGUUAGACCGAAGUAUCUGUUGAAAUGUCGCAUGCUAAUUGCUUCAGUAAUGUAAAAUGAAAAGUAUUCAGCAAACUAAGUUUCAUUUUUUAGAUAUAUUACUGUUCCUGGACACAUUAGUUAUGGUCUAGGAUUGCUAAUUAAUGCAUAGGCAAUCUUAAUGUGUACAAAGUUGAUUCAUUAAAAAAAAC